UGCUGCAUUGUGGAAUUUGCUGUC
rnacentral:piRNA from 1 species